rnacentral:sRNA from 1 species
UUCUAGCCCCGAUGGAAGCGGCAUCCUUUUGUUUUUUUCUUUAAAAAACAAAAGAUAUAGCGAACAGCGGGAACGGAA